GAUGAACGCUAGCGGCAGGCUUAACACAUGCAAGUCGAGGGGUAGAAGCAGCUUGCUGCUUUGAGACCGGCGCACGGGUGCGUAACGCGUAUGCAAUCUGCCUCUCACAGGGGGAUAGCCCGGAGAAAUUCGGAUUAAUACCCCAUGGUAUAUAGAUGUGGCAUCACAUUUUUAUUAAAGAUUUAUCGGUGAGAGAUGAGCAUGCGUCCCAUUAGCUAGUUGGUGUGGUAACGGCACACCAAGGCUACGAUGGGUAGGGGUCCUGAGAGGGAGAUCCCCCACACUGGUACUGAGACACGGACCAGACUCCUACGGGAGGCAGCAGUGAGGAAUUUUCCGCAAUGGGCGAAAGCCUGACGGAGCAAGACCGCGUGGGGGAGGAA
rnacentral:rRNA from 1 species